rnacentral:rRNA from 1 species
CAGCAGCCGCGGGAAUACGGAGGGUGCAAGCGUUAAUCGGAAUUACUGGGCGUAAAGCGUGCGUAGGCGGUGGUUUAAGUCCGUUGUGAAAGCCCUGAGCUUAACUUAGGAAUUGCAGUGGAUACUGGGACGCUAGAGUGUGGUAGAGGAUAGUAGAAUUUCAGGUGUAGCAGUGAAAUGCGUAGAGAUCGGAAGGAAUAUCUAUGGCGAAGGCGGCUAUCUGGGCUAACACUGACGCUGAGGUACGAAAGCAUGGGGAGCAAACAGGAUUAGAUACCCGUGUAGUCCCUGUCUCUUAUAC